AUUGAACGCUGGCGGCAUGCCUUACACAUGCAAGUCGAACGGCAGCACGGGUGCUUGCACCUGGUGGCGAGUGGCGAACGGGUGAGUAAUACAUCGGAACAUGUCCUGUAGUGGGGGAUAGCCCGGCGAAAGCCGGAUUAAUACCGCAUACGAUCUACGGAAGAAAGCGGGGGACCUUCGGGCCUCGCGCUAUAGGGUUGGCCGAUGGCUGAUUAGCUAGUUGGUGGGGUAAAGGCCUACCAAGGCGACGAUCAGUAGCUGGUCUGAGAGGACGACCAGCCACACUGGGACUGAGACACGGCCCAGACUCCUACGGGAGGCAGCAGUGGGGAAUUUUGGACAAUGGGCGAAAGCCUGAUCCAGCAAUGCCGCGUGUGUGAAGAAGGCCUUCGGGUUGUAAAGCACUUUUGUCCGGAAAGAAAUCCUUGGCCCUAAUACGGUCGGGGGAUGACGGUACCGGAAGAAUAAGCACCGGCUAACUACGUG
rnacentral:rRNA from 1 species